GCCUGGAGUAUUUGUCCUAAUGUUCUCUCUUUAACUAAAAGCACUGGUCCUCAAAGAAAUGGAUCCCAUAGUUUUAUACAUAUUUUUUAGAUUACUUUACUAAUAUAGGGAUCACAAUUAUGGAAGGAAAGGGUUGAGGAGAAACCCGGAUGCUGAAGGAUUUUACGAUCUUUUUCCUGUGAGCAACAAAGCAAAGUACUGGCAAUAAAACCAUAAAGAUGAGAACAGACGAAAAAGGGUCGUUUAUUGCCCUAGCAUAACACUAGCAGCAUUCCCUCGAGUGCAACCAACAAAAAAUAAAGUUUAUACCAAAAUAAAGAGACCAUUUGAGGCUGGAAUUGCACAUCCAGUGUGUGGGACACAUAUAUACUAAGAAGAUUUUCACUUGCCAUCUGGAAAUAAAGUUCUUCAAUAUCUUUAAAGAACUUCCUGAAUUCGGGUACUUCCAAAAUAUACAAAGGAUUAUAAAAAGAGAUAUCUGGAAAACAUCGAAUAUGUGCUUGGGGUGAAAGUACAUAGGGUAAUUUUCAUUGAAGAUGUUCAGCACAAAACAACGUCUGCUGUUUUAUUUCCGAUCUGCUAAAAUGAUGCUGUGAAAGUUCAUAUAAUAUUUGUUGCAUUUAUAGUUUUAAUAUGAUACACAAAACAUCUGAAGUCCUUAAACAAUCCGGAGUUUACGACUUUGCUGCUAAACUUGAACCCAAUAAUACUUUGCAUGUGAAUGAUUUUUUUUUUUUCAUACUACAUUAUAUUAGUCACAAGUUAAAAGCAAAAACAUUAUAACACUUUCAAUCCACUUGACUUUACUGAAUAGUAACAGCAGCAUAAACUAAUUGACAAAACGUUAUUAAAUAUAAAAGAAGAAGGUAACCUUACAAUGAAAAAUUGCAUAUACAUUAACCUUAAGGGACUUUAUUCUUAUUUACAGUCUUGAAAGCUGCUGUCUCAUAUCAAAUUACAUGAAAGAUUUAUUAAAUAUUACAACACCACGUUGUCUUGAAUAGAGGUCUUCAUAUUAUGCUCCUUACAGUUCAAACACAAGUAUUAAAAGUUAAGUACCAACCCUAUAUUAGUCAUUUGUCUUUUAUAAUGAUUUUAAACUUAAAUGUGGUCAGACUAUUGUGUUCAUCUUAAAUAAACUAUGAUUUAUGCAAACAUA